CUUUCUUUGUUUCUUUGUUUCUGCGAAGACACAAACCCAGCCAUGCACUCAUAGAAUAGAAUCUCUCAAAUCCUUGUCCCUCUCUCUCUCUCUCUCGUGUUUUUUGUGUGAGUCUCUUUCAUUCUCUCUCUUGUGAACCCCAUUUGGACUCUUUCUUCCUACCACGGCUUUCCCUUUGAUUCUUUCUCUCUCUCUGCAACCCAACGAAAAGUACAAUUCUUUCUUUCAUUUUCUACAACCCCACUACACACGCCUUCUGCUUCUCUUUCUCUCUUAUUUUUCCUUCCAUCAAACGCCAGAAAAAAUGCCUCACCCUUUUGCUUCCUUUCUGGGCUUCCUCUCCCUCUCUCUCUAGGGUUCCAUUCUUUCUCAGCUUUCUUCUCUAGCCUCCUUCAAAAUCAUUCUCUCUCCCAAUUCAACAACUACCCUUUUGUUUUUCUCAACCUCUGAUCACGGUUCACACCUCAAAAUCCUAUCUUUCCUCCCCCUUGCUUAUUUUGCCCCUCCCUAGGGUUUUUGUUCAUUUUCCUCCCAGAAUAAACAGCUGAAGGAUCAAGCUUGGAACCACAAUGUGGAUUUUCAGAAGCUCGUAGCUUGCAGCUUCCACCCUGAAUUGCCUAAUUUAGCUUUUAGUUUGUGCUUUUUGCUUUUUGAGCUUUUUGUGUUUCUUGCUUUUUUUAGCUGCACACCUUCUGUUUGAAGAAUGGGCUGUGUCAAUGGCAAGUGUUGUAACCGGUACUCCACACCGUCAGAGGGUGGCUCCAGGGACUACAGAGAACUUGGCCCUUACCGUGCACAAAGGAAGCACAUACUCACUCAGAGACCAUUGGAGGUAGCUACUGUUCCUUCACAUAACUUCACUUUGGAGUAUUCUGUUCUAACCCAGAGGGGAUACUACCCUGAUUCACCUGAAAAGGAAAACCAAGAUAGUUUCUGCAUUAGGACUCAGAUUCAAGGUAACCCCAGUGUCCAUUUCUUUGGUGUGUAUGAUGGUCAUGGUCAAUUUGGUGGACAGUGUGCAAACUUUGUUAAGGAUAGGUUAGUAGAAACACUGUCUAGUGACCCUGCAUUGUUGGAGGACCCUGUUAAGGCUUACACUUCUGCAUUCUUAACAACGAAUUACGAACUGCAUAACAGUGAUGUUGAUGAUUCAAUGAGUGGUACCACUGCAAUUACAGUGCUUGUUAUUGGUGAUACCCUUUAUGUAGCUAAUGUUGGUGACUCAAGAGCAGUGCUAGCUGUUAAGGACGGGAAUAGAAUUAUUGCUGAGGACUUGUCCUCGGAUCAGACACCGUUCCGGAGAGAUGAAUAUGAGAGAGUGAAGCUUUCUGGGGCAAGGGUGUUGAGUGUUGAUCAGGUAGAAGGGCUUAAGGAUCCAAAUAUCCAAACUUGGGGCGACGAAGAGAGUCAGGGUGGCGAUCCUCCAAGGUUGUGGGUUCAAAAUGGAAUGUAUCCUGGAACUGCUUUUACAAGGAGUGUUGGGGAUAAUUUGGCAGAGACUAUCGGUGUCAUUGCUGUUCCUGAGGUGUCAACAGUCCAGCUUACACCGAAUCAUCUAUUCUUUGUUGUUGCAAGUGAUGGGAUAUUUGAGUUCCUAUCAAGCCAAACUGUUGUUGACAUGGCAGCAAGCUAUUCAGAUCCCCGUGAUGCGUGUGCCGCCAUUGCUGGAGAGUCAUAUAAACUAUGGUUGGAACAUGAGAACCGAACAGAUGAUAUAACAAUUAUCAUUGUUCAGAUCAAAGGCCUGUCAAAUUUAGGUUCAUCUCAAGUUGGAUCAGGUGACAUCAAUGCCAGUAUGUUAACAAGGUCCAAGAGGGGAAACGGAACAUCAGAGACAUCCACUACUACUGUGUCGGAAGUUUCUCGUUCUGUGAGGAGUGGAAUCUCCGAUUUACAGACAUGUCAGCAUGCAGUCUCAAUGAGAAGUCCAGCUAUAGUCGCUCCCUCACCAACUGGUCAAAGACCAAUAUGAUUGCUACAAUCUCACUAGCAUCAUUUCAUAUUAAUGGUUUAUUAGUUUCUGCAAAGACUUCACAGAUUUAUCCUUUUCCAUCAACAGUGUUCAAAUAGAGGCUUCAUGGAACAAGACCAAGUAUCUUUGUUAUUUCUCCUAUGUGAACCACUUGAACUUGUCUUCUCAGAUGACGCGACAACCUCGACUCUCCAGAUUUAUGUAUUGGAAGAGUAUUCAUAAAUUACUUGAGUUGAUGGAGAGAGGAUGAUGCAGGGAGAAUGGCUGGUGACUAACUCAUUCGUAUUGAAUUAUUGUAAAUUGGUCAGCUUUGAAGGGCAAAGCAAGAUGCUGUUGAGAAUGUAAAUUCAUUAUCCUCGCUCAUGCUGAUGCUGAGUCCAGUGUUCAUUGAAUGCAACAAAAUAUAAGGCCCCUUUUCCAACUCAGCAUGUUGUGGAUUCAUGGACCAUAAUAAGCAUAUGCAUAAGUUUCAUUGUCCACAAUCUCAUCAUGUCUCCAAAGUUUCAACAUUUUGAAUCCUAUAGGCUUUACAAAUUGUUUGAUUAGUGAUGGGUCUCACAUUAACCAAUCAAUCUCCUUAAAAAACAGUACCAAAUUGUCUGUUAUAUGAAAAGAUAUCCUACUAUAUCUAAUGUUCAGGUAAUAUGUUCAGUAAUCUAACACCACAUUUUACAUAGGUUUG